UUGCUAGGAUGAUACUUGUCACAGACUUUCACCAGAAAUAAAAUGUUGGCAUGAAAAACGAGCUUUUUAAAUCUGAGCAAG